rnacentral:rRNA from 1 species
AAUUUUUGUCUGAAAAACAUACCAAUAAUCAAAACUUUCAACAAUGGAUCUCUUGGUUCUGGCAUCGAUGAAGAACGCAGCGAAAUGCGAUAAGUAGUGUGAAUUGCAGAAUUCAGUGAAUCAUCGAAUCUUUGAACGCACAUUGCGCCCCUCGGUAUUCCGUGGGGCAUGCCUGUUCGAGCGUCAUUUAACCCCUCAAGCUCAGCUUGGUAUUGGGUGCUUGUCCCGCCUCCGCGCGGCGACUCACCUCAAAAUCAGUGGCAGCCCGCACCCGCCGGCCGUGAGCGCAGCACAUACGCGCCCUAGGCUCUUUGGUAGGUCGGCUCUCCAGAAGCACUUCUUCCACUUUUGACCUCGGAUCAGGUAGG